UUAGAUGUACCUUCUGUCUUAUCUGGAUGAACUAAAAACAGAAAUGGGUAGUUUUAUAGUUUUAUAAUAUUUUAUAAUAAUUGUAUAAUAAUAGGCUUUGUUGCUUUUGACAAAAAGAACUAUCUGUGAUGCAAGCAACAAUCUUGUGCCCUUAAAGCCCAUGUCCUCAAAUACUAAAGUAAACCUAAAAUCUUAGCAGUGUUCUUUAGGUGUUGCAAAGUGUUAGUAGGAAAAAUCCUAACUGUGCAAUGUCUCCAAAGUUUGUGGAGUUUUUUCCUUUAAGGAUAUUGUUUCUAGCUUAGCUGAAGUUCUCCAUCUCUAUGGGGAUUUCCUUUCACCCACUACUAGUCUUUAAGAACAUUUCAAUUUUACUGCUAUCAACUGCAAUUUCGUACUUUGAUAAGAUUCAUUACUGUACCCCAUCCUGAUCUCUUUUCAAAAUAUUGAUCAACUAGAUUACUAAAAUAAUCAAAAUAAUAGUGGAAAAGCUUUCUGUUUAUCCUUCACAUAUAUUUCUAUUAGUUGGUAAAAUCACCCACAUCCCCACUAAGUCCUGUACCAAGCAUAAAUACCACAUAGUAUAACAAGUACUAAGAAUUUUUGAAACUUAAUGUUACUGUUUUAUCAACCUGAAUGGAAAACUAUUUUGCAUUUUUUUCUUUUCUUUUUGUACUUCUGAAUUUGUGAAGUCAUAUCUUCAACAAUUCAUUCAACCAACUUUUAUUGAGAAUACCAUAUUGUAUGUGCCUCAAAUCAUCAUACACAGAGCAACUUGAUGAGUUUUCCUAAAUCUAAGCUCUGGCUGUAUCACCCCAAAGCCCCAUCAUUGCCUAUUGAAUUAAGUCAGAUUCCUUUCCUAGAAUUCAAGGGCCUCCAUAAUGCAUCGAUACCAUGAUCCAACUGAGCUGUCUUCCCACAUAUGUCCUGCCAUUUUCUCUGUCUUGGAAUGUUCUCUCUCUUGGUAUCUUUUUUUUCCAGUGGUGCCCAUUUGAAAUGCCUCCUUUUCCAUGAAGUCUGUCCUGU
rnacentral:lncRNA from 1 species